rnacentral:rRNA from 1 species
GGGGAAUAUUGGACAAUGGGCGCAAGCCUGAUCCAGCCAUGCCGCGUGAGUGAUGACGGCCUUAGGGUUGUAAAGCUCUUUCACCCACGACGAUAAUGACGGUAGUGGGAGAAGAAGCCCCGGCUAACUUCGUGCCAGCAGCCGCGGUAAUACGAAGGGGGCUAGCGUUGUUCGGAAUCACUGGGCGUAAAGCGUACGUAGGCGGAUCGUUAAGUCAGAGGUGAAAUCCCGGAGCUCAACUUCGGAAUUGCCUUUGAUACUGGCGGUCUUGAGUUCGGGAGAGGUGAGUGGAACUGCUAGUGUAGAGGUGAAAUUCGUAGAUAUUAGCAAGAACACCAGUGGCGAAGGCGGCUCACUGGCCCGAUACUGACGCUGAGGUACGAAAGCGUGGGGAGCAAAC